UUUCGGGCGGUAACUACGCCUUCGGCUGUCCGCGGUAGGCUGCCCGGAGUCGGAAUUUUGUCUGCAGAAAAUCUGGCCGUGGUCAGUCGAGCCAGGGAGCCUUUACCGAGGCAGCGCGCAGACCCAGCAGCCUCAGUGGCACAGCCAGGCUCCUUCCCUGGAAAUACACUCAGCAUCAAGCCCCCAUAGCUUGGAACUGUGUCUGGGUAACUCUUAGAUCCUCUGAAGAGAAUUGCUGGCUUAAAGAGGAAAUGUUUUUGUAAAUGUGAUAAAUAUUGAAAGUUGGCCUUUAAAGAGUGGUCCAUUCUGCACUCCCAUCAGCAGCAUAUGAGAGUAUGCAGGCCUCUCACUGUUGUGGCCUCUCCCAUUGCGGAGCACAGGCUCCGGACGUGCAGGCUCAGCGGCCAUGGCUCACGGGCCCAGCUGCUCCACAGCAUGUGGGAUCUUCCCGGACCGGGUCACGAACCCACAUCCGCUGCAUCGGCAGGCGAACUCUCAACCACUGCGCCACCAGGGAAGCCCUCUUUGCUUUUUUUUAACCUUAUUAUGAAUGUAGUUAUUUUGCAUGUAUUCUUUUGUGACUAAUUAUUUUUCCAUUUAACACUGUUUCUAAGAGUAAUCCAAAUUUAUGCAUGUAGCUAUAGUUCAUUCCUUUUCACUGCCAUAUAAUAUUUUGUAUUAGAAAUACAACACACUUGAGUUAUCUGCUAUAUUGUUUACUAUUAUGAACUAAACUUGCCAGCAUUCUCAAACAUGUGCAAAAGUUUCUCUGGCUAAUAUGCCUAGAGGUGGUGUUAUAGACUGAAUUGGGUUUCCCCAAAAUUCAAAUGUUGAAGCCCUUACUCCUAAUACCUCCCAAUAUCUCAGAAUGUGACUGCAUUUGGAGAUAGGGUCUUUAUUAAUAAAGAGGUAAUUAAGUUAAAAUGAGACCUUUGAUGGUGGUGGGGUGAUGGGGGUGCCCUAGUCUGGUCUGAUUGUUGUCCUUAUAAGAAGAGGAGAUUAGGACAUACAGAGAAACGCUGGACAUGUGCAUGCAGAGAAGAAAGGCCAGUGAAGACACUGCAAGAAGACAUCUGCAAUGCCUGGGAAGAAACCACACUUUAUUCUUGGACUUCUAGCCUCCAAAACUCAGAAAAUAAAUUGGUGUCUAAUCCACCCAGUCUCUAGUAUUUUUGUUAUGGCAACCCUAGCAAACAAAUACAGUUAGAAUUGCUAGAUGGUAGGAUUAUGCACAAGUUCAGUUUAGUUAGUAACGCCAAUAUUUUUUUAAAGUACUUGGACCGAUUUACAAUCCUACUGGCAUGUAUGAGAAUUCUUGUUCUACAUCCUCACCCAAACCUGAUAUUGUCAGACUUUACUUUCUCCAGUCUGUUGGAAAGGAAUGGAAUCUUAUUGUCAUAUUAAUUGCAUUUUCCUGAUAAUUAAGGAGAGUUGAAUAUCUUCAUGUGUUUCUUGUUUCUAUAUCAAUAAAAUGCCUGUUAUAUCUUCA